UUUUUUNNNNNNNCUCAGGAUGAACGCUGGCGGCGUGCCUAAUACAUGCAAGUCGAACGCUUUGUCUUUAAUUGAUCUGACGAGCUUGCUCUGAUGUGAUUUUAUCUGACAAAGAGUGGCGAACGGGUGAGUAACACGUGGGUAACCUACCUCUUAGCAGGGGAUAACAUUUGGAAACAAGUGCUAAUACCGUAUAAUACCAACAACCGCAUGGUUGUUGGUUGAAAGAUGGUUCUGCUAUCACUAAGAGAUGGACCCGCGGUGCAUUAGCUAGUUGGUAAGGUAAUGGCUUACCAAGGCAAUGAUGCAUAGCCGAGUUGAGAGACUGAUCGGCCACAAUGGGACUGAGACACGGCCCAUACUCCUACGGGAGGCAGCAGUAGGGAAUCUUCCACAAUGGGCGCAAGCCUGAUGGAGCAACGCCGCGUGUGUGAUGAAGGGUUUCGGCUCGUAAAACACUGUUAUAAGAGAAGAACGGCACUGAGAGUAACUGUUCAGUGUGUGACGGUAUCUUACCAGAAAGGAACGGCUAAAUACGUGCCAGCAGCCGCGGUAAUACGUAUGUUCCAAGCGUUAUCCGGAUUUAUUGGGCGUAAAGCGAGCGCAGACGGUUAUUUAAGUCUGAAGUGAAAGCCCUCAGCUCAACUGAGGAAUGGCUUUGGAAACUGGAUGACUUGAGUGCAGUAGAGGAAAGUGGAACUCCAUGUGUAGCGGUGAAAUGCGUAGAUAUAUGGAAGAACACCAGUGGCGAAGGCGGCUUUCUGGACUGUAACUGACGUGNGNUCG
rnacentral:rRNA from 1 species